GAUUCCAGGGUCUGAGAGAGAGCCAAGAUGAAUAUGGCCUUCCAAGAAGACAUGCUGACAAGAAAAGACUCAGAGUGCCCAGGAGCUUCCCCUUCCUACCAACCCUGCAGCCUGGAACCCUAGCCAUACCUCUCCCUGACUGUGGACAGUACAGCCUUUGAGCUGAGCCAAGCUGCUCCCCUGGCGAUUUCCAUAAGAGUACCACUUAUCAGCACCUUGGACAGCAUACAAAUGAUUCUGCAUCUCCAGAAAUUGUCACAGCCACCCCAACCUUCAGCUACCACUACCCUGAUUCAUCAGCAUCAAUACCAAGGCAACAUCCUCCACCAGAAAAAGAUUACAACUCAAGCACAUUCACCUGGGGAUCUGGCAAGAUGGCUGAAUAGCAACAGCUCCAGUCUGCAGCUCCCAGUGAGACCAACACAGAAGGUGGGUGAUUUCUGCAUUUCCAACUGAGGUACCCAGCACAUCUCAGUGCGACUGAUUAGACAGUGGGUGCAGCCCACGGAGGGUGAGCCAAAGCAGGGUGGGACAUCGCCUAACCCAGGAAGCU
rnacentral:lncRNA from 1 species